UACGUAGGGGGCGAGCGUUGUCCGGAUUUAUUGGGCGUGAAGAGCGUGUAGGCGGCCUGGCAGGUCUGCUGUGAAAACUCGAGGCUCAACCUCGAGAUGUCGGCGGAAACCGUCUGGCUAGAGUCCGGAAGAGGAGAGUGGAAUUCCUGGUGUAGCGGUGAAAUGCGCAGAUAUCAGGAGGAACACCGAUGGCGAAGGCAGGUCUCUGGGCCAUAACUGACGCUGAGAAGCGAAAGCAUGGGGAGCGAACAGG
rnacentral:rRNA from 1 species